AUUUAAGUAGUUUAAUAUAGAAAACUGUGAUUUGUGGGGUCAUAAAUAUAAAUUUUUAUCUUAAAUU
rnacentral:tRNA from 1 species